CAGUCAGGGAGGAAUGAGCUCUCCUGGAGCAAAGCUGAGAGGAGAGGCCUGACCGCAGGUACAGCCCGAGCCAGAAACUAUCCCAUACUGAGGAAAAUCUGACUACAUCUAGAUGAAACAUUGAAGGACUGGUAGAGAUCCAGCCUGUAGACUAAAUGAGACAGGAAGCCUUUGUUGAUGUCUUGACCCUCUCCACCUCCUGCUGGAAUUAUGCAUGUUGCCACAGCCUUGGGGUUUGGUCUUGUUUCCCCAUGUAUUCCUACUGGGAAGAAGCAAGAAGGUCAGACUGAUGUCCAGACCCUACAUAGAAAUCUCAUUUAAACCCACCCCCAGGGCAAGAGUUAGGAUGGGAAGAAAGCACACUUUUUCAUGGAAGCCAAUGUUCUUCAGGGUUGGACAGUCUGGUACACCGACAUUUUAAAUGGGCUCCAGGGCUUAGGCCAGUUCUGUUAAUUCUUCCAUAUCCCUUUGCAAAGGAAUUUUAAGUCUGAUAUCCUUCCCACUGUUCCUGCUCUGCAAUAUCCUCUCAUCCAUUUUCACUCUUGUGAGCAUUCCUUCCUGCAUCAGCUAGGAUGGAUGAAGCAGUUUGUAAGAAAAAAAAAAAAAAAUUUAAUUAAACAACUCCCCCCCCAAAAAAACAAAAAAAACCCCAACAACAAUCAAACAAACACAUGACCUUCACUCUAAAUCUUGAAGAGAGAGAAACUGAAAUGUCUGGAAGGAUCUGUCCAGGUUUCUACAGGAACCCUUUCUACCUCUUUUCUCAGCAGUCUGGCAGUAGAACAUUGCCUACCAGAGGGGUUUAAAUGUAACACCCUCAUGUUACCUGGAUUCAAAGUGACACACUGAAGCCUUCUUCUGACCCAUGGAAGAAGACAGUACACCAUAUUUGAGGACAGUAAUCUACCCAGGCUCAAUACAGAUUAAAGGAUGCUCUGAGGCUGUCAUCAUUAAUCCAUCAAAGUACUGUGCAUCGUACUGAAUGGUAAAACACACUUGAGAGACCAGCAUGGAGAGCAGGAAGCAUGAAAGAAAACAGAGUAUGAGAAGUAUCUGUAUCCUGGCUGGGGUCUACUGUACUCAAAUGGAAGGAGUGAGGAGGGAGGAACAAGUGAGGGAGAGAAAAGGUGGAAGAAGGGGGGAAAAAAAAGAAUCAGAGUUAGGCAGAAGUGAAUCAGAAAUGGAAGAUAAUGAUGGAACUCAAAGCAAAGAAAACCAUUUUUGCAUUCAUUUCUCCUUCAUGUACCAAUAUUUAAGCCACCGGCUAACUGAUUUUCAUAAUCCUUUCACAAGGAUUAAGGGUAAAUAUGUGCCUCCUAUUGAGAUAUAGGAUGCUUUUGCUCUGGUGUUCAGUUUCCAGAGCAAAGAUGUGUAUGGAAGUGCUCUGUGCAUGUUUUACAGUGCUAUAGAGUCCUUUUUAUAGCACUAUAAAGUUACAGCACUCUUCAACAUGAUAGAAGGGCAGUGUUUGGUGGGAGGGCCCCUGAGCCUCCCUGCACUUUCCAGGCUAGGAGGCAGGGGGUGCCCCAUAUCCUCCUAGGGCUUCCCCGCUUCUGCCUUUGCUCGAGAUAAUUUGCAUCAUCACAGAGCCUCAACCACAGAGCUCAGAGACGCUUCACCAGAUGAGAAAUGCCUUCCCAGAAGAGCAUUCCACUUUUUUACUCCUCUAUGAAAUAUGAAACAUCAUAACCAGAAGGAAAUAUGAAUACAUCCUGCUUACCACCAAACAACUUUGAGGUAAACAGACUAUUCCAACUUUUCCCUGAGCCUAACCUGCAUUUAAAAUGAACUUUUCCAAACAGGAGAUUUUACCACACCUUCAACUCUCCUAUGAAAUAUGCAUUUUCAUUUCUACCCAGGAGAACUUUUACAAUCUUUUCUCCGAUGCCUGACGAAAGGUGUUUGGGCCCAAAAGCUUGCAAUUAAAUUUUUUUUUUUUUUUUUUUUUUUGCAAAAUCUAGUUGGUCUAAUAAAAAGAUAUCACCUC